rnacentral:rRNA from 1 species
GACGAACCGUGCGAACGUUGUUCGGAAUCACUGGGCUUAAAGGGUGCGCAGGCGGCUCCGCGCGUGUCUGGUGAAAUCUCCCGGCUCAACUGGGAGGGGCUAGGCAGACGGCGGAGCUUGAGGCUCGGAGGGGGGCGUGGAAUUCCGGGUGGAGCGGUGAAAUGCGCAGAUAUCAGGAGGAACACCGAUGGCGAAGGCAGGUCUCUGGGCCGAUGACUGACGCUGAGGAGCGAAAGCGUGGGGAGCGAACAGG